rnacentral:misc_RNA from 1 species
UCGCAGCUUGCGCUGGCAGUCUCGGUAGAGUUCCCGGCUUGACCCGCUGGCAACUACCGAUGGGGGUUGCGCUCGUUAUGGCACUUAAGCCGACACCUCACGGCACGAGCUGACGACAACCAUGCAGCACCUCGCCGACCGCCAUUGCUGGCUACAGGGUUUCCCCCGUAUUCGUUCGGCGUUCGAGCCUGGGUAAGGUUCCUCGCGUAUCAUCGAAUUAAACCACAUGUUCCUCCGCUUGUGCGGGCCCCCGUCAAUUCCUUUGAGUUUCACCGUUGCCGGCGUACUCCCCAGGUGGAUGGCUUAACGCUUUCGCUAAGCCCCUGACCCUUGCGGGCCAAGAGCGAGCCAUCAUCGUUUACGGCGUGGACUAC